GCAUAUCAAUAAGCGGAGGAAAAGAAACCAACAGGGAUUGCCUUAGUAACGGCGAGUGAAGCGGCAAAAGCUCAAAUUUGAAAUCUGGCGUCUUUGGCGUCCGAGUUGUAAUUUGAAGAAGGUAUCUUUGAGGUUGGCCCUUGCAUAAGUUCCUUGGAACAGGACGUCAUAGAGGGUGAGAAUCCCGUUUAUGGUGAGGUGCCCAACUUCUUGUAAAGUGCUUUCGAAGAGUCGAGUUGUUUGGGAAUGCAGCUCUAAGUGGGUGGUAAAUUCCAUCUAAAGCUAAAUAUUGGCGAGAGACCGAUAGCGAACAAGUACAGUGAUGGAAAGAUGAAAAGAACUUUGAAAAGAGAGUGAAAAAGUACGUGAAAUUGUUGAAAGGGAAGGGCAUGAGAUCAGACUUGGUAUUCAGUGAUCAACUUUCUUUCGGGAUUGUGCACUCGCUGUUUACUGGGCCAAUAUCAGUUUUGGCGGUAGGAUAAUGGCAUUGGAAUGUGGCUCUUCGGAGUGUUAUAGCCUUUGUUGAUACUACCUGCUGGGACUGAGGACAGCGCUUUUGCUAGGAUAUUGGCGUAAUGAUCUUAUGCCACCCGUCUUGAAACACGGACCAAGGAGUCUAACGUCUAUGCAAGUGUUUGGGUGUAAAACCCGUACGCGUAAUGAAAGUGAACGUAGGUGAGAGCCCUCACGGGUGCAUCAUCGACCGAUCCUGAUGUCUUCGGAUGGAUUUGAGUAUGAGCAUAGCUGUUGGGACCCGAAAGAUGGUGAACUAUGCCUGAAUAGGGUGAAGCCAGAGGAAACUCUGGUGGAGGCUCGUAGCGGUUCUGACGUGCAAAUCGAUCGUCAAAUUUGGGUAUAGGGGCGAAAGACUAAUCGAACCAUCUAGUAGCUGGUUCCUGCCGA
rnacentral:rRNA from 1 species